AUCCUCACCAAAACACUGUCAUGGCUUUUUCAGAAGAAGAUUUCUAACAUCUAACUACUCUAACUGUAAUUUUGAAGAAGUCAUUUUUAACACCUCUGACCCUGUUUUUUCAUCUGUAAUACGGGGCUAAUUACCCAGCACACAGGGUUAUUCUCAGAAUGAAAUGAGGUAAGCUACUGAAACACUCUACAUGGUGUUCAGGAGGUUCUGGGGACUUGAUCAAUGACUGGUUCUUUUUGCCAUUAUCACUUAUUUCUGUCGCCAUGUACUGCAUUUUUAUCAUUUCUAUUAUGAGUGGCAGCAUCUAUAUAAGGCAGUUUUGAAAUUUCUAAUGUUUGAGGUGCAUUCAUUUAGUAAUUGAUACAAGUCAUUUAACUCCCUGAUUUCCACAGUCUGACAUGAACUUUCAAUUAAAAAUGCUGAUGUCUGGUUUUCUGAAUGGAGCAAUAAAAUCAGAAGCAAAUUACCAGGCAGAUAACAGAACCUAAGCUUUAAGGCUCAUCUUUUGCAUAAGAUCUUCCAAAGCACUAUACCUGAUUUUGUAUUUUGAAUCUGUAUUCCUUUUUUUAAAGACGAGGACUCAAAUUACAUAAAUUCCAAGCCCUAUAAAACCGGCUAUGUGUCUGCACGCUUAGUUGCUCAGUCAUGUCCAACUCUGCAACCCCACGGACUGUAGCCCACCAGGCUCCUCUGUCCAUGUGACUUGUCAGGCAGUUGGACUGCCUGAAGUUCAGACUUUUCUGGAGUGGGUUGCCAUUUCCUCCUCCAGGGGAAUCUUCUCCACCCAGGGAUGGAACCUACCUCUCCUUCACUGUAGGCAGAUUCUUUACCACUGAGCCACUGGGGAAACCUGAAUCCAUCUCUAAUCUGGACUGAGGAUUUUAAAAGUUGGAAGUAGAGGUAGUACUGAGAUACAGUUAGCACAAAAGAUAUGACGUAUAACAUGCCAAUAUAGAAAACAGGAGAGUGGAAGAAAGGGGCUGACUAAACACACAAAAUACAGCAACAACACCAGGGGUUUUGAGUCUGCGUUUCUGCUUGGCGACAAGAUUAGGGCUAGACUUAGGAGAGGAGGACCUGGAUUCCCACCCAGGUGUUACUUGCACCUGUCACCUGGUCACUGUCAAGCUUCUUUGCAUUUCCAAGCCUUUAAGAAAAAUUAAAAUGAGGAAUUGACUCCAGCCCAUCCUACAUGAUACCACCCUUAGGAGAAGAAAACAUAAUGUCACAAAGACCAUAAAAUAUAGCAACCCUCCUAAAUUAGCCCAUGGCGCUCACCAUGGCAGGAGAUGGAAA
rnacentral:lncRNA from 1 species